AAUAAAUUGCCUAUAUAAGCCACUGAUCUAUGCUUUCUGUUGCCGUUUAGUGAACAGUUGUUCUGCUGCACACACCAUUAACCCGACUCCAGUAGAGAACGCGACCAGUUUGAUCCAUGUUCAGUGAAGUCCUCCAGCCGCUUGGCAUAAUUAUCUUCUGUCGUCAACCCAUGCAAUGUACAAUUAUAUUUACGGCAUCGUAUAUGUUUUCUUUCUGAAAAUGCGGUUAUCAGGCGAAUGCUAAAAACACUCGCAAAACCCUGAAUGUUGUUAGACUCAUGCAAGUUUGUCGCGGCUCUUCAAUGAUCUGAUUAUACUCGUCAAGAACUGCUUUUCACCACGGUAUCUUGAUGAGAAACCCAGGCACAUUAUGCCUAUCGCCAUGUGAAUGGGAAGGGUCUGCUUGAACCUGUUUCUAUUCAGAAACAUCCUUUCAGAGAAAGCUGUGGUCAGGCCAGAAAUGAGCAACACACCCCAGCCUGCCGGCAAGCAGUGGCGGAAAGAGAAUGAGCCCUGUAAAAUAAAUCUUUAAUGAAUGCCGCUGAAUAUGUGAUUCGCAGCAGCAUAUCUUUACAAACAGUCAAGGCACAAAGAAAGUUCUUAAAAGAUACUUUAAAGGAAAUAAGAUGGUAGUGAUUAACCAAAGGAUACUGAUGGAAUUUGCAGCAAUCAACCCAACUGCACCAGCAGAUUUAAUCAGGACAACAUUUAGCACAAUGUAAAUUGCCGAGAACAGGAGCAACAUAUCAUUUGACUGCUUAAGCUUGUCUUCAUUUGCAACAGCAUGAAGGAAAGCUUCAGAUUACAAACCAUUCAUUGCUAAGCAUAUGACGUAGAAACAAUAGUAACGAAGAAUAACUGUAGCAUCUCCAUCACUGUAUCUUGCCCCAUAAAGUAGUCUAAGAAGGGUAUAUGAAUAACUUGGACCAAAUGAGAUGACCACCAAGCCUGCAAACAUAAUAAGCUUAAGAGCUCCGAGCAAAGAACCUUCCAAAUUGGAUAUAUUCUGGGGAUUUUAACCUGAUGCCAACUGUGCAAAUGUAGCAUAAGAACUCUCCUCGAAUGGCAGGAAAACUAUUCUAACAACCAGACUACCUAAUUUAUCCACAAGACCAUAGGCAGCCUGGUUAUAUGGAGUAUCAAACCAAACAAGAACAAACUUUUCGCCUUCUUGGAGCAUCAGUUUCCUGAAAGUCUGAACCUGAAUGGAAGGAGAUCGGAAAUUUUGGUAUUUGUAAAUAUAAGAAAAUAGGUCCAAUAUCCAAAGAAAAUGCAAGCUGCAUAGACAACCUGUGACAAAGCAAAUACAACCAACUUUUCCUGCAAGAAAUAAAUUAUUCCAGAUUAUACACUUAUAUUUGGAAAAAUAGAACUCUAAAGAGGUUUAGUUGUUCUAUGUUAUCAUAUUCACUUUUUUUGUGGGUUAACUUAAUCCUAAUUAAUAAAGUUAAAAUGUCACAACCUGAUUAAGUUAAUCCUCUCUAACCCACAUCCUGUUAACCCUGAACAAAUGUAGCUAAGAGAGAAAUCUCACACCAAGUUAUUUUCUUUGGUGCAUGGACCAAAAGAACACAAUAUGAAAUUGGCAAUGGAACUUUUUGAUUUGCUAGCUUUCACAAUGUAACCAUAACCAAAUAGAUGGCUAUACCAGUAUCAGGUGUAAACAACAAAAACAAUGUGAACUUAAGCAUUUUAUUUUAUCAGUGAUAACAAACUGAGACAGAAAGUGCAUAAUAAGUUGAAUAGAACUACGCAAGCAAAUGCUGUCAUAUUGAAUCAACUAAAUACAUUAGCUCUCAACGUGAGGAAAGUGGACAGAAGUCACACAAUAUGAAAAAAAUAAGGCAAAACAUGUGGAGUGAUAUCAUACAAACAGGAAAGACAAAGCCAUUCAUAGCCGUGCUUUUAUAGAUCAUAUCCAAAUAGAAAAACAAAUAGAUAAAUGUCUAAAAGGACCAUCUUGAAAUGCUACAAAUAACUGUAUGCUUGCAUGAAUGCUCAUCUCCAUUUUAUUGAUCAAGAGCCAGGUGUUCAACAAUUGCAUGGAAGAUAUAAUAUUUCAGCACCACUAACGAGUUAAUAUGUGGAAUAUUCUAACUUAAUCAACUGAUUCAUUCAUUCCAAAGAGCUUAUCCUCAAUCAACUGACUCAUUCACUCUGACGAAUUUAUACUAAAUGAAAUAUCAGUCACCAUAUUCAGGACAAAUACACAAAGCUUGUACAGAAACUUGGUUAAUACAAAGCUUACCGAUAAUUAAUGUAGCUUUAGCAUAGGUAUCGGAUAACCGCAAUUUCUUUACCCUCAACACAAAUAAGCUGCUGAUAAAGGAAACUAAGAUGCCAAAUGGGACAAUCAUCCAAGCUACCUUUAGUAUCUCUUCAUCACUUAUCGCAUUGCCACUAAUCAUUACGCAAGCAUGCACGCCGAAACCCCUCCCGGCUUAAAAAUAGGACGCAGUUGAUGAAGAGAGGAAGCUGGGAUCCCGCACCGCGCAGUCGUCGGCGCUGAGCUGGCGCACGAACCAGCUGUUGUAGAGGAAGGGGGUGACCCUGGAUAGGAACUGCGCCGC
rnacentral:sRNA from 1 species